rnacentral:rRNA from 1 species
UACGAAGGGGGCUAGCGUUGCUCGGAAUUACUGGGCGUAAAGCGCACGUAGGCGGAUUGUUAAGUCGGGGGUGAAAUCCUGGAGCUCAACUCCAGAACUGCCUUCGAUACUGGCGAUCUCGAGUUCGGGAGAGGUGAGUGGAACUGCGAGUGUAGAGGUGAAAUUCGUAGAUAUUCGCAAGAACACCAGUGGCGAAGGCGGCUCACUGGCCCGAUACUGACGCCGAGGUGCGAAAGCGUGGGGAGCAAACAGG